rnacentral:rRNA from 1 species
UAGGGAAUCUUCGGCAAUGGACGGAAGUCUGACCGAGCAACGCCGCGUUAGUGAAGAAGGUUUUCGGAUCGUAAAGCUCUGUUGUUAGAGAAGAAUGUUGGUAGGAGUGGAAAAUCUACCAAGUGACGGUAACUAACCAGAAAGGGACGGCUAACUACGUGCCAGCAGCCGCGGUAAUACGUAGGUCCCGAGCGUUGUCCGGAUUUAUUGGGCGUAAAGCGAGCGCAGGCGGUUCUUUAAGACUGAAGUUAAAGGGAGAGGCUUAACCAUUGUACGCUUUGGAAACUGGAGGACUUGGGUGCAGAAGGGGAGAGGGGAAUUCCAUGUGUAGCGGUGAAAUGCGUAGAUAUAUGGAGGAACACCGGUGGCGAGGGCGGCUCUCUGGUCUGUAACUGACGCUGAGGCUCGAAAGCGUGGGGGGCAAACAGG